UGGGGAAUUUUUCGCAAUGGGGGAAACCCUGACGAAGCAACGCCGCGUGGAGGAUGAAGGCCUUCGGGUCGUAAACUCCUGUCGAUCGGGACGAACGUGGUCCGGCCCAAUACGCCGGGCUAUCGACUGUACCGGUAAAGGAAGCUCCGGCUAACUCUGUGCCAGCAGCCGCGGUAAUACAGAGGGAGCAAGCGUUGUUCGGAAUUACUGGGCGUAAAGGGCGCGUAGGCGGUUCGAUAAGUCCCGUGUGAAAUCCCUCGGCUCAACUGAGGAAUGGCACGGGAAACUGACGGGCUUGAGUUCGGGAGAGGGAAGCGGAAUUCCGGGUGUAGCGGUGAAAUGCGUAGAUAUCCGGAGGAACACCGGUGGCGAAGGCGGCUUCCUGGACCGACACUGACGCUGAGGCGCGAAAGCUAGGGGAGCAAACGG
rnacentral:rRNA from 1 species